rnacentral:rRNA from 1 species
AACGAACGCUGGCGGCAUGCCUAACACAUGCAAGUCGAACGAGACCUUCGGGUCUAGUGGCGCACGGGUGCAUAACGCGUGGGAACCUGCCUUUAGGUUCGGAAUAACUCAGAGAAAUUUGAGCUAAUACCGGAUGAUGUCUUCGGACCAAAGAUUUAUCGCCUUUAGAUGGGCCCGCGUUGGAUUAGCUAGUUGGUGGGGUAAAGGCCUACCAAGGCGACGAUCCAUAGCUGGUCUGAGGGGAUGAUCAGCCACACUGGGACUGAGACACGGCCCAGACUCCUACGGGAGGCAGCAGUGGGGAAUAUUGGACAAUGGGCGAAAGCCUGAUCCAGCAAUGCCGCGUGAGUGAUGAAGGCCUUAGGGUUGUAAAGCUCUUUUACCCGAGAUGAUAAUGACAGUAUCGGGAGAAUAAGCUCCGGCUAACUCCGUG